AGCAGCCGCGGUAAUUCCAGCUCCAAUAGCGUAUAUUAAAGUUGUUGCAGUUAAAAAGCUCGUAGUUGAAUUUCGGGGUCAGUAGGUUGGUCAUGCCACUGGUAUGUACUGGCCUCACUGAUUCCUCCUUUCUGAUGAACCGUAAUGCCAUUAAUUUGGUGUUGCGGGGAAACUGGACUGUUACUUUGAAAAAGUUAGAGUGUUUAAAGCAGGCUAACGCUUGAAUACAUUAGCAUGGAAUAAUGAAAUAGGACGUUCGAUCCUAUUUUGUUGGUUUCUAGGAUUGACGUAAUGAUUAAUAGGGAUAGUUGGGGGCAUUAGUAUUCAAUUGUCAGAGGUGAAAUUCUUGGAUUUAUUGAAGACUAACUACUGCGAAAGCAUUUGCCAAGGAUGUUUUCAUUAAUCAAGAACGAAAGUUAGGGGAUCGAAGACGAUCAGAUACCGUCGUAGUCUUAACCAUAAACUAUGCCGACUAGGGAUCGGAUGAUGUUAAUUUUUAAUGACUCAUUCGGCGCCUUAA
rnacentral:rRNA from 1 species